UACAAUACCAACCCAUACAAUACCAACCCAUACAAUACCAACUAUUAUUAUUGGUAUUGUAUGGGUUGGUAUUGUAUGGUUUGGUAUUGUAUGG
rnacentral:miRNA from 1 species